UACGUAGGUGGCAAGCGUUGUCCGGAAUUAUUGGGCGUAAAGCGCGCGCAGGUGGUUCCUUAAGUCUGAUGUGAAAGCCCACGGCUCAACCGUGGAGGGUCAUUGGAAACUGGGGGACUUGAGUACAGAAGAGAAGAGUGGAAUUCCACGUGUAGCGGUGAAAUGCGUAGAGAUGUGGAGGAACACCAGUGGCGAAGGCGACUCUUUGGUCUGUAACUGACGCUGAGGCGCGAAAGCGUGGGGAGCAAACAGG
rnacentral:rRNA from 1 species